ACUGCGCAUGCUCAGAGCCCGCCCGGCCGGGACCUUGCGGGGGAGGUGGUGUCACAGCGUCCUAGCGGGUCGGUGCCCAGAAGGAGCCCUAACCCGACGCGCUGUGCCUAUAACCCUGAGACCUUGACCACGCCGUUGAACUUCUCUGGAUCUCCGAUUUCUCGCCUUUCCCAGUUGCAGGUGGAGAAGGUGAAGGCCGGCAGAGGGACGAGGCGGGCUGAAGGAUCACAGCAUGUCACCAGGUGACCAGUUGUCCCCCCCUUUCCCACAUCCGCCAGCUCUUCUUCGUCAGCUCUGGAGCAAAGCCGAGGGAAUGUCAGUGGACGUCGGUGUGUAAAUGCCAUUCUUCACUGGUCAUGCAGAAAAAACCAAAUGGCAGUACAUGUGUGUGGUGUUUGAAAACCAAAGGAGUUACCUAUAUUCUUUCUCCUUGGGAUUACAGAGGAGAAGGAAGAAUUUAACUACAAUCAACUCAUUCCACGCUCUUACCAAUAACACUUCUUGUUCAUUCACCAUCUCACUCCAAGCAUCGGUCGUAUUCCUGAGAAGUACCCAGCAAGCGCCCAUCAAAGAGUUCAACGGCACUUGGGCUUUACAGAGAACUGCAAUUUAGAAGUGAGCAUCUCCUUAGAGAGCUGGGGCUCUAUAUGACUGCUCGUUCUCAAUGCCAAACCAAAACAAGCCUGACCUCGUCUGAUUUUUCAGAGUGGAGCAGGUGUGAGUUUGGAGAGUACCAUCUUUGGGCAGCGAACAGUUGGAAAAACAAAUCCCUGAAUCCUGUGUGUGUUGCUCUUCUCUGCCUAGUAUUCCCACACUGCUCCAUCUGUAGAUUGACUUGACUCCAGCAACUUCCAUUUUCCUUCCUCUCUUGGGGUUUGGAAAUGCAAUCACUGGGACAUUUUCCAGUGCUAAAUGAAUUUAGAAUGCAUGGUUAGCCUUAUAAAGCCCAGAGGUUUCUGCCCACGUGUGCAUAUAUUUUGGGCUGAGAGUCCCAUGGUUAAAAAAAUAAAAGCCGUUUUACCCAUAUUUUGGUGGGAUUAAGCAAGGGUAACAAACAGGCUCCUAAAGCUGACAGAUUCAAUCUCUUUACUAUUCUACUCAAUACUUUUUAAAAAUGUAACUUAAUUUAAAAACAGAGAUCAAGGAUAAAUAUAUUCUCAGUAUAGGUAAUGCAUUUAUAAUCCCUUGCCUUUUUUUUUUCUCUCUCUCUCCAUCCAUCCAUCCAUCCAUCCUCCAUCCAUCCAGCAAACAUUUAUUGAAUUCCAAGUAGAUGUCAAGCAUUAGUCCAUUUGCUCACACUAGUCAUUUAGGUUCAACAUGUAGUAGAGUCGUACAAUUUAAUGUUGCUAAAUUGUGGAUGCAAAUCCAGAGUACAAAGUAAAGACACUUGUCCCUUCAUAAGUUGGCACUCCCUACCGACAUGAGGUAAUCCCUUUCAGCUGCUCCUUGGCGUAGUGGAAGGAACAUGUGAUUUGGAACCAAAUAGGUGUGGGUUCAAACCCUGCUUCAUGCUCUGCUAUUUUAUAACUUAGUGACUUUGAGAAAUUUUUACUUAACUCUCUAGCCCAUUUCUCUGCCUGUAAUAUGUUGUAAGAAUUAAAUAAAAUAACAUAUGUAAAGCACCCGUAUAGGGCAUGGUUUAUGGUAAAUUCAUAAUACAUGUUAUCUCCCUUCUCCUCCUUCCCUUUCUGUUCAUUCAACAUUUGUUCAACAAACACUAUUGAAUAUCCACUGAGUCAGGCACUGAUCUACAGAAAGGAGUAGAACAAAACCCUUACCCUUGUGGAUUUUACAUUCUAUAGAGGAUAUCAAAAAUAUACAACAUGUCAGCCGAGUACUAUAAAGAAAACAAAACAGAGUAUAGGAGAUACAAGGAGUGCUGGGAUAGUAUAGUUUACAUAGGUGGUCAGGGUGCUAAUUUAUUUGAUAAGGUGACAGUUAGGCAUAGACCUAAAGGAAGUGAGUUCUUACCAUCAACAAAAGAGGACCAUCUCUUUAGACAUCAGGGGGCAUGCCCUCUGUGUCUCUGUAGGUGACAUGGUUUGGGUGUGGUUUGUCCCUGCCUAAGCUCAGGUUGAAAUUUUAUUCCCAAUGUGUCAGUGUUGGGAAGUGGGGUGUAGUGGGAGGUGUUUGAGUCAUGGGGGAAGAUCCCCUGGGAAUAGAUUAAUUCCCUUCUGGGUGGGGUGAGUGAGUUCUCAUGGGAAUGGAUUUAUUCCCUGCCAAGAGAGCAGGUUGUUAAAAACAAGCUUGGCUUCCUUGGGGUCUCUGUCUUGCUUCCUCUCUCACCAUGUGAUCUCUUUGCACGUGCCUGCCUCACUUUUGCUUU